rnacentral:rRNA from 1 species
GACGAACGCUGGCGGCGUGCUUAACACAUGCAAGUCGAACGGAAAGGCCCUGCUUUUGUGGGGUGCUCGAGUGGCGAACGGGUGAGUAACACGUGAGUAACCUGCCCUUGACUUUGGGAUAACUUCAGGAAACUGGGGCUAAUACCGGAUAGGAGCUCCUGCUGCAUGGUGGGGGUUGGAAAGUUUCGGCGGUUGGGGAUGGACUCGCGGCUUAUCAGCUUGUUGGUGGGGUAGUGGCUUACCAAGGCUUUGCCGGGUAGCCGGCCUGAGAGGGUGACCGGCCACAUUGGGACUGAGAUACGGCCCAGACGCCUACGGGAGGCAGCAGUGGGGAAUAUUGCACAAUGGGCGGAAGCCUGAUGCAGCAACGCCGCGUGCGGGAUGACGGCCUUCGGGUUGUAAACCGCUUUCGCCUGUGACGAAGCGUGAGUGACGGUAAUGGGUAAAGAAGCACCGGCUAACUACGUG